rnacentral:rRNA from 1 species
CACGUAGGGUGCGAGCGUUGUCCGGAAUUAUUGGGCGUAAAGAGCUCGUAGGCGGUGUGUCGCGUCGGCCGUGAAAACCUGCAGCUUAACUGUGGGCUUGCGGUCGAUACGGGCAUCACUGGAGUUCGGCAGGGGAGACUGGAAUUCCUGGUGUAGCGGUGAAAUGCGCAGAGAUCGGGAGGAACACCUGUGGCGAAGGCGGCCCCCUGGGCCGGCCCUGACACUGAGACGCGAAGGCGUGGGGAGCAAACAGG